GACGAACCGUGCGAACGUUGUUCGGAAUCACUGGGCUUAAAGGGCGCGUAGGCGGCUUCGCAAGUCCGGGGUGAAAGCCCCCAGCUCAACUGGGGAAGUGCCUCGGAUACUGCGGAGCUCGAGGGAGGUAGGGGCGGAUGGAACUUCCGGUGGAGCGGUGAAAUGCGUUGAUAUCGGAAGGAACGCCGGUGGCGAAAGCGAUCCGCUGGCCCUCUACUGACGCUGAGGCGCGAAAGCCAGGGGAGCAAACGGG
rnacentral:rRNA from 1 species